GGCAGCAACACAUGACAACACAGCAUGGCAGCAACACAUGACAACACAGCAUGGCAGCAACACAUGACAACACAGCAUGGCAGCAACACAUGACAACACAGCAUGGCAGCAACACAUGACAACACAGCAUGGCAGCAACACAUGACAACACAGCAUGGCAGCAACACAUGACAACACAGCAUGGCAGCAACACAUGACAACACAGCAUGGCAGCAACACAUGACAACACAGCAUGGCAGCAACACAUGACAACACAGCAUGGCAGCAACACAUGACAACACAGCAUGGCAGCAACACAUGACAA